rnacentral:piRNA from 1 species
GCGGUCGGCGUCCCCCAACUUCUUAGAGGGACAA